GAAAUUGGUUUCCCCAGGGCCCAGGCAAGGUCAUGCUGGUUAAUUACUUAACGACAACAACCUAAGGCAAAGGUUAGUCUGCGUUCUUUUGACUGUUGUCCGUUGAGCCACCGCCAGUCCGCCACUGCGCCUCCGUCACUUCCGGCCGCUCUGCUAAGCUCUGUCACUUCUUCACACACGGGAGGAAGAAGAGAUAUUCAAGGCAGAUAAUAUAAGGUGUGCCAGUCUGAGAAAAUGUCAAAUCCUGCUUCAAUUGGAAAGUUUGCUAGGCAUAUCAGUCAACUUAUAUUGGUUAGAAAUCGUAUGUUUGCAUGCUCUUAUAGUACGGUUGUUCGAUCUCCUCAAGUCCCGUUCCAAGGCGGUGUGAAGACGAUGGGAUCUGGAGAUCAUCGGGUUGAUUAUGAAGUAUCACCUAAGUUUUCAGGGAAAGAUAGUGAAGUUGAAAUGAAGCGCCAAAUAGGAGCAAAUGUUUCGAGAAAGGAUAAGAUCAGCUUUCUAGUAAAGACGCUUCUUGACCUUAAGGAUAGUAAAGAAGGUAUAUACAAUGCCCUGGAUGCCUGGGUUGCUUGGGAGCAGAACUUCCCAAUUGGGUCACUGAAGCAGGUUAUACUCAAACUUGAGAAGGAGCAACAAUGGCAUAGAGUUAUCCAAGUUAUAAAAUGGAUGUUAAGCAAGGGGCAAGGCAACACAAGAGGGACUUAUGGGCAGUUAAUUCAAGCAUUAGAUAUGGACCAUAGGGCGAAAGAAGCACGUGAGAUUUGGAGGAAGAAACUUGGUUUUGACCUACAUUCGGUUCCAUGGUCAUUGUGCAGCCUUAUGAUUUCUAUCUAUUAUCGGAAUGAUAUGCUGGAGGAUCUUGUAAAGCUGUUCAAGGGCUUGGAAGCAUAUGGGCGAAUACCACCUGAGAAAUUUAUUGUGCAGAAAGUAGCCGAUGCAUAUGAAACGUUGGGCUUAUCUAAAGAUAAAGAAUGCUUAUUGGAGAAGUACAAGGAUCUCUUUAAUGAGACACAGGGUGGAAGGCCCAAGAAAUAUAGGGGAUUUCAGGCCAAGAAAAAAGGGAAAGCAAAGAAGGAAGAUUGAGAAGGGGUUUCUUAUACAUAUCUCAUUCAACAGCUUCCUGCCAAUAUUUGGUACAAAUUGAUCCUUAUUGAAUGCAUUAUACAUAUGGUGCAUGCAAACAAGGUUUCAACCAAUGUGGCCUGUGGGUAUGAAAAAUCUUGUCGAGGAUGAAUAUGUGAAGAAACUAUUGGUUUACAUAUUUGCAUGACUAGUGGGUAAUUGUAUCUUACCUGUUAUCGUGAGCAUCACACAUUCACAUCCACAACUUCAUGUAUUUGAUGCUCGGGAAAUCAUGCAUUUGUGAACCCAAAAUAAUUCUUUAUCGCAAUUUUGAGUUUUGAUCCUUACAAUCGAUUCUAA